GACCCAAUGGCGAAGUGUAUCGCGUCCGCGUUUUAUAUUAUGUGCCUGAUUUGUCUGCGGAAGUCCCCCGUUCGAUCCGGGGUUGGGUCG